UUCACAAUAAUAUAAUAAAUAAAUAAACAAAAAACCUUCCAUACCCAUUUUUCAAAUAAAAUCCAAGAAGUAGAGGAAUCAUCAAAACUUCCAUCUCCGCGGGAUAUCCAACAUCAGAUUGAUCUCAUUUCUGGAUUAAAAUUACCGAAUCUGCCUCAUUACAAGAUGAGUCCAAAGGAGAGUGAAAACUUCCAAGACCAGGUGGAACUUGCUUACAACAAUAUUGCAGCAAGCAACUUGGCAAAGCAGCACAUGGAUGUUUUCAAACAGGUACAACAAUACCUUACAGAAAUCGAUGACAAAUAUAAAGCUAUAGCUGAUAAAUAUAGGCGUUUCAAGUCCUUCAAUGUCGGUGGCCAAGUUAUGGUGUAUUUACGCAAGGAGCGUGGUGGAGGACAAAAAAAGCUUGACGCAAAGAAUAUUGGUCCAUUUCGGAUCAUUCAGAAGAUCAAUGACAAUACUUAUGUUCUUAACCUCCCACAUGAAAUGAAAAUUUUCAAGACGUUUAAUGUGGCAGAUCUAUUUCAGUACUACCCUGCUGAUAACAACUCGAAGACGAGUUCUUUACAAGUGGAAGGGAAUGACACGGAGCAACUAGCAUUGGAUUUUAUGGCAGACUUGGACCGGGGCUAAUUUUUAUAUUUUAAUUAUUAUUUUUGGAUAUUUUGGGUAUUUUUAUAAUUUUGCAUAUUAGGAUUUUAGACUCCUAUUAGGAUUAGGAUUAUUCUUGCAUAUUAGGAUUUUAUUUCUAUUGUAAAUAGCCUCCCUUGGCUAUUAGGAUUUUAGACUCCUAUUAGGAUUAGAAUUAUUUUGCAUAUUACGAUUUUAUUUCUAUUAUAAAUAGCCUCCUUGGCUAUUAGAAAUUGACUUUCCAAUUUUAAGAAAUUUCUAAAUUGUCUUAUACCAGCAAGGCCCACCAAAACAUUUUUAUCCAUGCGAGAUCAUUUUUUUUUUUAAAAAGACCAUUUGAAUUCUUGUUUCAUGUUCUUAUCCAUCUAAAUAAAUCGAGAUUCUCAAAAUUAAUGACAAAUAACGAAUAUUCACAACAAUAUAAUAAAUAAAUAAACAAAAAACCUUCCAUACCCAUUUUUCAAAUAAAAUCCAAGAAGUGAACACAGAAAAAUCAGUAUUACAACGAGAAGUGCAGUAAGUUGAAACUAACAAGAACAGGCACAUAAUUUUUUUCAUCUCGCUAAUCUCUAAAUCAUACCCAGAAAUGAUAUCAAUCUUAGAUCCUUUGAACACGGCAGCAUCAGCACCGUUGGAUUUUUUGUCACCACCCUCUAAUGCCNN
rnacentral:lncRNA from 1 species